rnacentral:rRNA from 1 species
AGGAUGAACGCUGGCGGCGUGCUUAACACAUGCAAGUCGAGCGAAGCACCUUGACGGAUUUCUUCGGAUUGAAGCCUUGGUGACUGAGCGGCGGACGGGUGAGUAACGCGUGGGUAACCUGCCUCGUACAGGGGGAUAACAGUUGGAAACGGCUGCUAAUACCGCAUAAGCGCACAGUACCGCAUGGUACGGUGUGAAAAACUCCGGUGGUAUGAGAUGGACCCGCGUCUGAUUAGGUAGUUGGUGGGGUAACGGCCUACCAAGCCGACGAUCAGUAGCCGACCUGAGAGGGUGACCGGCCACAUUGGGACUGAGACACGGCCCAAACUCCUACGGGAGGCAGCAGUGGGGAAUAUUGCACAAUGGGGGAAACCCUGAUGCAGCGACGCCGCGUGAGCGAUGAAGUAUUUCGGUAUGUAAAGCUCUAUCAGCAGGGAAGAAAAUGACGGUACCUGACUAAGAAGCCCCGGCUAACUACGUGCCAGCAGCCGCGGUAAUACGUAGGGGGCAAGCGUUAUCCG